CGGGAAUUUUGGGCAAUGGGCGAAAGCCUGACCCAGCAACGCCGCGUGAGGGAUGAAGUAUUUCGGUAUGUAAACCUCGAAAGAAUGGGAAGAAUAAAUGACGGUACCAUUUAUAAGCUCCGGCUAACUACGUGCCAGCAGCCGCGGUAAUACGUAGGGAGCAAGCGUUGUUCGGAUUUACUGGGCGUAAAGGGCGCGUAGGCGGCGCGGUAAGUCACUUGUGAAAUCUCUGAGCUUAACUCAGAGCGGCCAAGUGAUACUGCUGUGCUAGAGUGCGGAAGAGGCAACCGGAAUUCUUGGUGUAGCGGUGAAAUGCGUAGAUAUCAAGAGGAACACCUGAGGCGAAGGCGGGUUGCUGGGCCGACACUGACGCUGAUGCGCGAAAGCCAGGGGAGCAAACG
rnacentral:rRNA from 1 species